UGUAAGAAAGACGAAGGG
rnacentral:tRNA from 1 species